rnacentral:rRNA from 1 species
GCACGAAGCCGGAAUCGCUAGUAAUCGCAGAUCAGAAUGCUGCGGUGAAUACGUUCCCGGGUCUUGUACACACCGCCCGUCACACCAUGGGAGUCGGAAAUGCCCGAAGUCAGUGGCCCAACCGCAAGGAGGGAGCUGCCGAAGGCAGGUCCGGUGACUGGGGUGAAGUCGUAACAAGGUACC